GGCUCUGUGGCGCAAUGGAUAGCGCAUUGGACUUCUAGGCUCGGGUUUGAGGACAUUCAAAGGUUGUGGGUUCGAGUCCCACCAGAGUCG
rnacentral:tRNA from 1 species